rnacentral:tRNA from 1 species
GCUUGGUUGGUGUAGUGGUAAGCACAUCUGUUUCACACACAGGGGAUCGUGAGUUCGAACCUCACACCGAGCA